rnacentral:misc_RNA from 1 species
UACAGACAGAAUAUUUUUCAGCACAGAAGCGAUAUUUAGUGUCAGCUUAAGUCCAAGUCCUGACAGACUUGUCAUAAACGGAAAAGUGGCAAGCAAUGGUAUAGAUAAAAGCGCUGCGACACGAGCUGAGUUGAUCGGUCCAAGGAGUCUCUCGAAUGGAGGGUAAAGAAUAAGUUGAAAUAUUAUAAGACUGAUACCUGUGACCGAAAGGAUUGAUCCAACAUCCUCGGAUGAAAAGCUCAAUCCUCCAAAACUUCUAUCACUCUCAGCCCAUAGGGAGAAUAUCUCAGUGUAAGCCAUAUCAUGAAGGGAGAAAAUACAAAAUACGGUGAUAGCUGAAAUUAAAGCCCAGUUCUUCAAUAUGCUCCCAGGGGGUCUUUCGUUUGUUUCUUCGUUGCUUUCUUUUGAAUCAGAGCCAUAAGAACCCUCCAAAGCUUCAAAAGUUUCAUCAUUUGUAUGGGAAUGCAGAGUUUCCG